rnacentral:rRNA from 1 species
GAUGAACGCUAGCGGGAGGCUUAACACAUGCAAGUCGAGGGGCAUCACGGGGUAGCAAUACUCUGGUGGCGACCGGCGCACGGGUGAGUAACACGUAUGCAACCUGCCUCGUACAGGGGGAUAACCCGGAGAAAUUCGGACUAAUAUCCCAUAAUGAUAUUGAAAGGCAUCUUUUGAUAUUUAAAGCUCAGGCGGUACGGGAUGGGCAUGCGGGACAUUAGCUAGUUGGCAGGGUAACGGCCUACCAAGGCUGCGACGUUUAGGGGACCUGAGAGGGGUAUCCCCCACACUGGGACUGAGACACGGACCUGACGCCUACGGGAGGCGGCAAUGAGGGAUAUUGGUCAAGAGGCGCAAGCCUGAACCAGCCAUCCCGCGUGAAGGAAGAAGGCGCUAUGCGUUGUAAACUUCUUUUCCAGGGGGAGAAUUUUUCCGUCGUGACGGGAAUUGACGGUACUCUGAGAAUAAGCAUCGGCUAACUCCGUGCCAGCAGCCGCAGUAAAAC